rnacentral:lncRNA from 1 species
UAGUCUGAGAGCUCCCCUGUGGAUGGAGACUGUCCUCUCUUCCCCAUCCAGUAGCAUCCUACAGCCCUGCAUAUCUGUGAUGGAUCCUGUUAAUUGUCAACUUGAAAGAAUCCACAGUCGCCUGUGAGAAGGGCCUCUGGGCGUGCCCUAUAGGGGAUUAUCUUGAUUACAAGAAUUGAUGUGGGAAGACCCGCCCACAUGAGAAGCACUGUUCCCUAGGCUGGAGAAUAGUAUUUCACCACAGCCAUGGGAAAGAAGGUAAGCCAGCAGGGAGCCAAGCACUUUUUCAAUGGACUUCUACAUUAGUGUCCCCCCACCCCCAGGCACAUCUUGUGAGUACUUCAAACAAAAUGAAAACCCCCUGAGAUCUGAGCUCACCUGUCUUGUUUGCUGCUGGAUUCCCAGAGUCUGACUCAGCACCGGCAUUUAAGGAUAGAGUAGAGAACAGAGGUAAAGCAACA